rnacentral:lncRNA from 1 species
CGCUCCCUGCUCUUCGGGGGAAAGGCUUGCUCCCAGGUUUCCGUGGACAUAUUGCAGGGCGUUGCUACAAGUGUGGCGUGCGGGGCCAUCGUGCUCGCGCCUGCCAAUCGCUUGUAUAGUUAUGUCGUCGCCUUGCGGGUUUGGAUUUUCAUCCUCGCCAGAACCGGCGUCGCCGUCCACUAUUGAAACUCUUCGAGAGAGAGAAAUAGAAGGCAGUUCGCCUAUCGGUAUUGGAUUCAGCAGUAACCAUGAGAACACGAGGAGUCCGCAAAGUGUGACGAGCUCUCCUGGGGAUUGAACGACUCCUGUUCACUCACAGUUAUCUAGCCUGUACUCUUCGCCUGUUGGAAUUGGAUUUAGCAGCAGUGACAACGAAAACACACUAAGUCCGCUAAACGUCGCCAACACUCCUCGUAUUUUUAUGACUUCUCCACUGUCUCCUACUCAACACUCGAAGGAAACUCAUCGCCUGCUAGCCCAUCACCAGACAACAGCCCUU